rnacentral:tRNA from 1 species
GGUUUCGUGGUGUAGUUGGUUAUCACGUCAGUCUGACACACUGAAGGUCUCCGGAUCGAGUCCGGGCGAAGCCA